AUGAGAGUUUGAUCCUGGCUCAGGACGAACGCUGGCGGCGUGCCUAAUACAUGCAAGUCGAGCGAGCAGAACCAGCAGAUUUACUUCGGUAAUGACGCUGGGGACGCGAGCGGCGGAUGGGUGAGUAACACGUGGGGAACCUGCCCCAUAGUCUAGGAUACCACUUGGAAACAGGUGCUAAUACCGGAUAAUAAAGCAGAUCGCAUGAUCAGCUUAUAAAAGGCGGCGUAAGCUGUCGCUAUGGGAUGGCCCCGCGGUGCAUUAGCUAGUUGGUAAGGUAACGGCUUACCAAGGCAAUGAUGCAUAGCCGAGUUGAGAGACUGAACGGCCACAUUGGGACUGAGACACGGCCCAAACUCCUACGGGAGGCAGCAGUAGGGAAUCUUCCACAAUGGACGCAAGUCUGAUGGAGCAACGCCGCGUGAGUGAAGAAGGUUUUCGGAUCGUAAAGCUCUGUUGUUGGUGAAGAAGGAUAGAGGUAGUAACUGGCCUUUAUUUGACGGUAAUCAACCAGAAAGUCACGGCUAACUACGUGCCAGCAGCCGCGGUAAUACGUAGGUGGCAAGCGUUGUCUGGAUUUAUUGGGCGUAAAGCGAGCGCAGGCGGAAGAAUAAGUCUGAUGUGAAAGCCCUCGGCUUAACCGAGGAAUUGCAUCGGAAACUGUUUUUCUUGAGUGCAGAAGAGGAGAGUGGAACUCCAUGUGUAGCGGUGGAAUGCGUAGAUAUAUGGAAGAACACCAGUGGCGAAGGCGGCUCUCUGGUCUGCAACUGACGCUGAGGCUCGAAAGCAUGGGUAGCGAACAGGAUUAGAUACCCUGGUAGUCCAUGCCGUAAACGAUGAGUGCUAAGUGUUGGGAGGUUUCCGCCUCUCAGUGCUGCAGCUAACGCAUUAAGCACUCCGCCUGGGGAGUACGACCGCAAGGUUGAAACUCAAAGGAAUUGACGGGGGCCCGCACAAGCGGUGGAGCAUGUGGUUUAAUUCGAAGCAACGCGAAGAACCUUACCAGGUCUUGACAUCUAGUGCCAUCCUAAGAGAUUAGGAGUUCCCUUCGGGGACGCUAAGACAGGUGGUGCAUGGCUGUCGUCAGCUCGUGUCGUGAGAUGUUGGGUUAAGUCCCGCAACGAGCGCAACCCUUAUUAUUAGUUGCCAGCAUUAAGUUGGGCACUCUAAUGAGACUGCCGGUGACAAACCGGAGGAAGGUGGGGAUGACGUCAAGUCAUCAUGCCCCUUAUGACCUGGGCUACACACGUGCUACAAUGGGCAGUACAACGAGAAGCGAGCCUGCGAAGGCAAGCGAAUCUCUGAAAGCUGUUCUCAGUUCGGACUGCAGUCUGCAACUCGACUGCACGAAGCUGGAAUCGCUAGUAAUCGCGGAUCAGAACGCCGCGGUGAAUACGUUCCCGGGCCUUGUACACACCGCCCGUCACACCAUGGAAGUCUGCAAUGCCCAAAGCCGGUGGCCUAACCUUCGGGAAGGAGCCGUCUAAGGCAGGGCAGAUGACUGGGGUGAAGUCGUAACAAGGUAGCCGUAGGAGAACCUGCGGCUGGAUCACCUCCUUU
rnacentral:rRNA from 1 species